AGCAGCCGCGGUAAUUCCAGCUCCAAUAGCGUAUAUUAAAGUUGUUGCAGUUAAAAAGCUCAUAGUUGAAUUUCGGAAUCUGUCCGUCGGUCGGGCUUCACUGUCCGUACUGGCGUGAUGGGUUUCUACCUUCUGAAUAAUCGGCAUGUCAUUAAUUUGGUGCGCCGGGGAAGCAGAACUAUUACCUUGAAAAAAUUAGAGUGCUUAAAGCAGGCUAUCGCCUGAAUAGAUUAGCAUGGAAUAAUAAAAUAGGACGGCAUGGUUCUAUUUUGUUGGUUUCUAGGAUCACCGUAAUGAUUAAUAGGGAUAGUUGGGGGCAUUAGUAUUCAAUUGUCAGAGGUGAAAUUCUUGGAUUUAUUGAAGACUAACUUCUGCGAAAGCAUUUGCCAAGGAUGUUUUCAUUAAUCAAGAACGAAAGUUAGGGGAUCGAAGACGAUCAGAUACCGUCGUAGUCUUAAC
rnacentral:rRNA from 1 species